rnacentral:rRNA from 1 species
GAUGAACGCUGGCGGCGUGCCUAAUACAUGCAAGUCGAGCGAACAGACGAGGAGCUUGCUCCUCUGACGUUAGCGGCGGACGGGUGAGUAACACGUGGAUAACCUACCUAUAAGACUGGGAUAACUUCGGGAAACCGGAGCUAAUACCGGAUAAUAUAUUGAACCGCAUGGAUCAAUAGUGAAAGACGGUUUUGCUGUCACUUAUAGAUGGAUCCGCGCCGCAUUAGCUAGUUGGUAAGGUAACGGCUUACCAAGGCAACGAUGCGUAGCCGACCUGAGAGGGUGAUCGGCCACACUGGAACUGAGACACGGUCCAGACUCCUACGGGAGGCAGCAGUAGGGAAUCUUCCGCAAUGGGCGAAAGCCUGACGGAGCCACGCCGCGUGAGUGAUGAAGGUCUUCGGAUCGUAAAGCUCUGUUAUUAGGGAAGAACAAAUGUGUAAGUAUCUAUGCCCGUCUUGACGGUACCUAAUCAGAAAGCCACGGCUAACUACGUG